ensembl:piRNA 21ur-9748 ncRNA
UUUGUGCAGUGGAUACAUUUU